GCCAGCAGCCGCGGUAAUUCCAGCUCCAAUAGCGUACGUUAAAAGUUGCUGCAGUUAAAAAAGCUCGUAGUUGAACGUUCGGGGUUCCGCGGGACGGGGCCGCCCCGCGAGGGACGGCGCCGCCCCGGGGCUCGUGAUAUCUCAUCUCGCCGCCCGUCGCGAGGCGGACGGAGGGAUGGAUGAGGUUACCUGGAAAAAAUCGGGGCGAUCUAGGCGGGCGAACCUCGCCAACGAACGAUCGGACAUGGGAUAACGGAAGAGGGCGUCGGCUCGACUUCGUCGGUUCCUCGGGCCGAGGCACGUACGGUGAAUAGGGACGGUCGGGGCCGCCCGUACCGGGUCGUGAGAGGUGAAAUUCUAGGAUCGACCCGAGACGAACCGCCGCGAAAGCAUUCGGCAAGGACGCUUUCAUUAAUCAAGACGAAAGUCGGGGGAUCGAAGACGAUCAGAUACCGUCGUAGUCCCGACCGUAAACGAUGCCGACCGAGGGCCCGGAGGAGUUACGUACGACCCUCCGGGCCUCCCGCGAGAAAUCAGGAGUA
rnacentral:rRNA from 1 species